GCGUACCUGUCUUAUCGUCAUCCGGGGCUAUGAUCAAGAUGGCUUCCUAUUUACAUCUCUGUGGUGAAAGUUGCAUUUCCGUGUUUUCUCACGGAAGUUUGCUCUCUGUUUUCUGAAACGUUACAGACAGUCUUCAAACUUUCUACAGGUUUUUGUCAAGAGGAGAAAGAUGGAUUGCAUUUGGUAGGAGAUUCUUUUUUGAGUACAGAAUUGAUGACCGCGUUUUGCCGUGUGUCGCCAUUCUGCCGUGAGCAGUAAACUGGAGCAAGGAAUGAACGAAUAGAUUACAGACGGACAAGCAAAAGUGAGUAAACCACGAUACAGUGCAUGUUUGUAUCUAGCUCGGUCUGACUCUGUCUCUUUCUGUCAAUCUGUUUUUUUGUUUGUCUGUCUAUCAGACUGUACUUUAGUGGGUGGUUG